rnacentral:rRNA from 1 species
GACGAACGCUGGCGGCGUGCUUAACACAUGCAAGUCGAACGGUGAAGCUCCAGCUUGCUGGAGUGGAUCAGUGGCGAACGGGUGAGUAACACGUGAGAAACCUGCCCCUGACUCUGGAAUAAGCGCUGGAAACGGCGUCUAAUACUGGAUACGAGCAGGGCCCGCAUGGGCACUUUCUGGAAAGUUUUUCGGUUGGGGAUGGGCUCGCGGCCUAUCAGCUUGUUGGUGAGGUAAUGGCUCACCAAGGCGACGACGGGUAGCCGGCCUGAGAGGGCGACCGGCCACACUGGGACUGAGACACGGCCCAGACUCCUACGGGAGGCAGCAGUGGGGAAUAUUGCACAAUGGGCGAAAGCCUGAUGCAGCGACGCCGCGUGAGGGAUGACGGCCUUCGGGUUGUAAACCUCUUUCAGCAGGGAAGAAGCGAAAGUGACGGUACCUGCAGAAGAAGCACCGGCUAACUACGUG